GUCAUAUCAUAUUGAAACACUGGUUCUCAUUCGAUCACCAAAGUUAAGCAAUGUCAAACCUGGUCAGUACCUAGAUGGGUGACCAUUUGGGAAUACCAGACACUGUAA